rnacentral:lncRNA from 1 species
AUUUCUUUGGGCCGCUCCCGUGGCAUAUGGAGGUUCCCAGGCUAGGGGUCAAAUCGGAGCUGUAGCCACUGGCCUACGCCAGAGCCACAGCAAUGCGCGAUCCGAGCCGUGUCUGCAACCUACACCACAGCUCACGGCAACGCUGGAUCGUUAACCCACUGAGCAAGGGCAGGGACCGAACCCGCAACCUCAUGGUUCCUAGUCGGAUUCGUUAACCACUGCGCCACGACGGGAACUCCCAAGAUAUAAAACUAACCUGUGUCCAUCAAUGGAUGAAUGAUAAAGAAGAUACGGUACGUAUACACAAUGAUAUUUUACUCCACCAUCAAAAAGAAUGAAAUCCUGCCAUUUACGACAACCUGGAUGAACCUUGAAGGUAUUUUGCUAAGUGAAAUAAAUCAGAUAGUGAGAGACUGUCUGGUUUCACUUAUAUGGAGAAUAUAAAACAAAACAAAACAACAAAAAACCAAAACAAACUCAUAGGUUCAGAGAUCAGAUUAGAGGUUACCAGAAGGGAAGGAGGUGAGGGGGGAUGGGUGAAAUGGGUGCAGGGGCUCAACUGUAUGGUAAUAGAGAGUAAUAAGACUUGUGGUGCUGGCCAAUUUGUAGUGUACACAGAUAAUGCUGUACACCUGUAACUUAUUUUUUAAAAGAAGGAAAAACAUCAGCUCUCACACGCAGCUGAAAUAUGUCUAAAAAUAAUUCAUUGUACUUGCAGACUGAUUGAUUUAAACAUCCAGCUACAGAAAAGUCUUGGACACCUAACUCUGGAGACAGUUGAACUCUUAGGCUGCAGCAGAACUGCAUCUUCAUGGUGAUCUGACAAUCAGGUGGUUGAGCUCAGGGACCAGGGAAUUUACAUGACCAGUAUGGAGUUUAGAAUACACAGAGCAGCGAAAAAUAGGGUCCUUCCCCAAAACUAAGGACAUGAUCAAAGAACCACCCUGGCAAAAUCCUUUUUGACAGAAAUGGAAUGAGAUAAGAGAUGUGAUUUCAGGCACUGGUGAAGCAACCUGCCUUCCAACUGGUAAAUCUUGAGACCUUUUCAGUUCCCAGUUUGUCUACCUCUUAGUACUGUGGGACACAGCUGCGCACCAUGGCGUGGUGAAGGUCCUUACUCCCUUAGUGUCUGAAACAGCAGCAUCUCUGUGGUCUCCUUCCCAUCCUGAGCUGGCUAGCAGCUGCUCCUCUGCUUGCCUUUUACAUGAAGGCCCUGUUACUAUUCUAUAGGUGAAUCAUAACUUUCUCCUUGGAUUCAGAGCCCGUUAGAAACCAACUCCAUUUCUUCCCUGAGCUUUCAGGAAUAGAAGAGCUUAUUCCGCAGUCCCACUUCUAGAAGGACCAAUAAAACACAUCCCAGUGACAAAAACCACUUCUGAAUGGUGCCCCCAAACAGACCUGCUUGCUCUGACAUCUUUAGCUAUCAGUGGUACCCAAGCUUAGAGUUGAAAGGGGAAGGGAUACUGGAAACCAGUCAAUCCUCAGUCUCUGGGGCCCCCUCCCCAGAUACCAAACCCCAGGGAUGCUCAAGUCCCUUGUAUAAAAUGACACAGUGUUUGCAAAUAACCUACACACUUCCUCCCACGUUCCUUAAAUCAUCUCUAGAUACUAACAUAUCUAAUGCAAUAUAAGUAUAAUGUAAAUUUUAUAAAUACAAUGAUUUGGGGGCAACCAUACUUGGGUUCAAAUCCUGGCUCUGCCACUUACUGACUCCAUAAUCUGGGAACGCUACUGGGCUUCAGGAAGAACCUCAGAGAGCAUUCUUGAGAGUUCACGGGGAACAUGCAGAAGGAGCAUAUAGUACAAGUUCAACCUCAACACAGAGAUGAAUAAAGUGAGUCAGCGUCUGGGGCUCUUCCCAAUACUUGGCACUUUCUCUGGAGUUUUUAGGUUGGCUUCCACUUUACAAAGGUUUCAAUGGAGAAGCGGGGGAGGGGCUUGGGAUAAAGAUCUUUCUCUUCCCAGGUUUCUAGGGUAUGGGUCACUUCUGCUUCUACGCCAUUGCUCCCCUCCUCCCCAGCUGUACUUCUUUCCUUACCUCCUCCAUUUUCUGUAAUUCUGUUUCAUUACCCCAAAGGCAGCCUAAACUGAGGCAGGAAAGUUUCAUUGUGAAUUACCUACACUUUUGUGAAAACACCAUCCUAAGCACUAGAAAGAGUCAGUCAGCAUCAAACAGAACUAGAUGUGGCUUCAGACCCUCAUGAAUGAGGAGAAUUAUCCUAAACAUGACUCUAAAUUUUGUGGGGUGAAUACAUAUUUGAGCCCCAAUUCCUUUUCUGGUGCUAUCUGACCACUUUAGUCCUUACAGUAACCCUAAGAGAUAGUCAAGGGAAUAAUCAUUAUUUCUCGCAAUUCACCUCUGAGGAAACGGCCCUGGGGCUGUGACAGGACCUGCUUUUUCCUCUCUGCAUGCUGCCUGCUUAGGACUAUUUUGAUUCACCCCCACCUUUCUCUUCUCUGAAGAAAGGCUUUCUAAACACCUGCCAAGCACCUGCAACACACCAGGUGUCUUCCUAGAUCUUUUCCCACUUAAUUCUCACAGCGAGUAAGUAACCUUGGAGCUAGAGAGCAUUAGGAUUCUUUUUAAGUAAUUUUUUUUUCAUUUUUUAAAGUUUUAUUGAAGUCUAGUUGACUUGCAAUAUUGUGAUAAUUUCUGCUGUACAACAAAGUGAUUCGGUUAUUCAUGUACACACACUCAUUCUUUUUCAGAUUCUUUCCCAUAUAGACCAUCACAGAAUAUCAGGUAGAGAUCUCUGUGUUAUCCAGCAAGGCCCCAUUGGCCAACCAAUCCGUAUAUCACUAUUUCAGUAAUUUAACUUGGAUCACAUAAUUAGCAAAGUGAUGGGGGCAUGAUUUUGCUCCCAGAUAUUUUUACUUCCAGCCAGACCAUAGCUCUCAGCUCUGAACCAAGCUAAACUUUCCAUCCAGCACAAAGUGCUACGGGAAAUUCAGAAGAAAAAUUUAUAAUAGUCAUAUAAUAAUAUAAUACCUAGCAGCUUACAUAUCACCUUUACACUGGCUUCCUCUUUUAAUUCUAAAAAAAAACAAGAAGCUAGACUGAUUAUACUAUCCUAAACUUACAAUGAAAAUCAAACUCAGGCCAAGAGACGCUCAAGUUCAAGAGGUUUAUAAAUUGCUUAAUUAUUAACUAAAUGUGUGUUAGAUGGACUCAAAUUCACAUCUUUUCCUACAGCACCAUCAUGCUCAGAAGCAGUCAUACCUUUAGCAAGAAAAACUAAAUACUUGACAGAAGCAGAAAGUGUCUAAUGUGUACCAAUCCUUUUAAAAAUCCAAGAGUUAACAGCAAAUUCAUAAUACUCAUAGUUCCAUUUGCAAUAUGGGAGUGCUUUUCUUAUCAUAAACUUUUGAAUGCUUCUCUCCAACCAAAGGGCCUUCCCAUCUUCCUUCUGCCACAUCCAUGUCUGGAGGGUGGCCAAAGAGGGACCACAAUACAGAAGUAUGUUCACUCCCCACGCCUGAGAAGGACCGCCACUCACUCCUCAGCUGUACAGCUGUAGCAGCAGCAACAAAAAGCACUACUGAAAAUAGCACUCCCAGCAGUAAGAGCAGUGGUCACGCUAGAAAGAGUAGUCAUGAUUUUUACUGAGUUCUUCCCUGUCUCUUUGCUAGAGUUUGGGGAUAUAAAAUCAAAUUUCACCUCCACCCAACCUGCAGUUGGUCCUACUGAGAAGGUAUACAUCAGCUUUUAGAAUUUUAACAAAUUUGGUUCCCACCCCCUUUCUUGUGCUUCACUCUGAUGUUGCUGAUUAUUUGCUUCUCCUUUGCGGCAAGACAAUAAAAUCAGGGGGGUAAAAAAGCAAAAGUAAAUCCAUUUUAAAAUUCUAGUUUAAAUCUGCAGAUGAUUAAGUUUCAGUUGAGUGUGAGUUGAGUAUUGGAGUUAAAAUGUAGAUGCUUUUUAUGAUUCGAAUUCAUAUCAAGUGAUACUGCAGUUGCAUCAUGAACUUAAGUACUUAGGAAGCCUGGGAGCCACUUGCUAAAAACACGCUCAGGUUCUCACCUCCCUCCCUCUCACCCCACAGUGAAAGCCAUGCAUAUAACAGCCAAGCCAAGAAGACCCCACUGGCUUAUUAUGCCAGCAAGACUGAGGUUCUGGGGGGAACUAAAUAGACAAAUAAGGGUGAAAACCCAACCACUCAAUUGAUAGUGGCCAGUAUCAGUGUGACCGUUGCUGAGACUCUCGCGGAUGCCAUGUUCAUCCCUUUGGCCAUCAGACAGGAGCGAGGUUGGGAGGCUACCACCCCAAUGCCUGACACGACUGUGCCCCUUCUGAGGAAUGACUGAAUUUGGGAAAGUAGAGGUGAAGGAGAAUUCUACUUCGGUCUCAGUAUUUGGCCAAAUUCUAUCAUUACACUUCAGCUUUAGACUCAGCUAAACAUCCAAUUCAAAGCCAUUUCCAGCCUCCCCGAAUGGGCAUAUGACAUAUGCUUGUGUGAACACGCUCAUCACCAUCAUGUGUAAACAGGGUGUUGAUGGAAGCAACUCAAACAGGAAAUGUCAUUAAUGUUUGCUGUUUAUAACUGAAUAUGCAGUUUAAAAUUCUGACAAGCAACCUAGAAGUAAAAGGAGUACAAAUCUCUUUAUGUGCUUUUCAUGUCGAAAUUUUGUCAGUUGAAGUAUACAUGUAUCAUUAAUACUGCAAAAGGAAAAUGCUGCAAUAAUAAAUUUAUUGUGAAAGCUGUUAACUUUAUGCACACAAUUAUAAAGAAUUAUUGAUGACAGAGGAGAAUAAAUUGUUGGCUAAAGGAAAUAUUAAGAGUGUGCUUGAGAGAUAACCUUAGAAAAAAUCAUUUCUGCCAAUAAAUACUUAUAAAAUUUUAAAUAAUAAUAUAAGGCAAAAUAAGAGUUGAGAUUACAUGAAAACUUAAAUCUUUGUAGAACUGUUUGAUGUGUUAGCAAUCAAAAUAUUAAACAAAAUAACCUUUAAGAACCACAUUUAAUUUUUAGUUAUUUAAUUCCAUAUAGAUGAGUCGUUCAUAGGAAAAAAUUAUAGCUAGGAACUGUUCAUAUCUUAACAAAUUCCGUGAGAGGAGUUCCCCGGUGGCUCAGUGGGAUAAGGAUCCAGCAUUGUCACUGUUGUAGCUCUGGUUGCUGCUGUGGCAUGGGUUCGAUCCCUGGCCCAAGAAUUUCCACAUGCCACAGCUGCAGCUGAAAAAAUUUUUAAAUAAAAUAAAAAUUUUUAAUUCCAUGAGAAAGAAAAACUCUAUAAACAACAUCAUCAACAUCAUAAGAAAUCAUCAUGACCAUGUCAUAACAAAGAAUUCCUUGCAUCCUUCUUAACUGCUCUAUUCUUCUCUAUAGUACUUAAGACUAUUUGUAUGCUAUAUGUUUUAUUUAUAGUUUUGCUUAUCGUCUGUCUCCCCAAGCCGCAGAAAUAAACUCCACAAGGAGAGAGAUUUUUGUCCUCUGUUCAUGCUGUAUCCCCGUCUCCUGAAACUAUGGCUGAUACAUUGAACAGGUGCUUGACAAAUGUUGAUCGACUGAAUGAAUAAAUUACAAGUGGGAAAAGAAGAAAAUGUUAGAGAAACAAGAUAACCUCAGUGCACACUUCAUUCUCGCUAAUCAAAAUUCAAAUUGAAGUCAAUUCCUUAUAGUUUUAGUCUAUGGAGACCAAAAAAAAAAAAAAAAACAAAACAAAACCUUGUCAAAAUAAUUGCUAUAGACUGGGAAAUAUUUUAAAUAGCUGCAGAUCCAGGAUUUCUGAGAUUCACUGAGUGAUGAAUUGCAUGUUUCUCAUACUGUGCACUGAACAUUAUUCUGAAUAAAGUGAGCAUCUCUUUCGGAUUGCAGGUCUGCCACACAGGGACCACAGAAACUGUCCAUCAGCUGACGGUGCUAAUAAAUUCUGUCUCCUUCGCCAGAGUGUCAAACUUUGAAAACUUGACUUCUAAAAUAUUUGAUAAGUUUUAAGAUUUAAUCUUGCCUUAAAAAGUUCUUUCUAUUCUUGUGAUAUCGGACUUCAGUCAAGUAUUGAUUUUAACAUUUGGCUUUUGGCCAAAACCUGUAUCUACUGCAUUUCCUCCAGACAGUUCAAUCAAUAGUUCUUAUUGUAAACUGUCCUGAAUCGAGUUCCUAAAAUUCUAAUCCUAAGUUA